rnacentral:misc_RNA from 1 species
UUUCCGCAGGUGAACCUGCGGAAGGAUCAUUAUCCAUCUCAAACCAGGUGCGGUCGCGGCCCCCGGGUGCUUGCUCCCGGGUGGUAGGGGUAACACCCUCACGCGCCGCCUGCCUGUACCCUCUUUUUACGAGCACCUUUCGUUCUCCUUCGGCGGGGAAACCUGCCGCUGGAACCAAAACAAAACCUUUUUUGCAUCUAGCAUUACCUGUUCUGAUACAAAUAAUCGUUACAACUUUCAACAAUGGAUCUCUUGGCUCUG